UGAAAGCACCCCUACAGUAUAUAAACUUACUUCACCUAGGCCAUAAUCACGUUCAAAUCUUAAUCGCCGUACGAUAAAGGUGUUUCAAAAAUGGUGUUUAAAUUUUUAUUGGUAAUUUCUGUUUUUGUAAGUUUUGUUUCUUCAGAAGAUGUUUAUCAAGCUUGUGGGGAUCGAUUAGAUCUUUUGGUGUCGAGUGUUUGCUCAAAAUAUUACAGAAGAAAUUUGAAUGAUGAUUUCGACUCAUCUAAUUUUGGGGAAGAAAUUUCGUCGUCAAGAACUAACAGGAUGCUUCAAAAUCAAAUAGGACGAAGACAGAUCGUUUCUGCGUGUUGUUUCAAACCUUGCACAGUGAGAACCAUUGAAGAAUAUUGCCAUUAUUAACUUUUUCGACUAAAAAUUUUAUGAUUCCAUUAAAAAAAAAAAU